GCCGGUGUGGCUAAGUGGUUGAGCAUCUACCUAUGAACCAGGAGGUCACAGGUUCGAUUCCUGGUCAGGGCA
rnacentral:tRNA from 1 species